UUUUCCUCAAGUCACAUGUGAGAACAGAAGAUGCUGCUGGACAAGCUGAUGCUCCACGCAGUACUUGGAAGAAGCUCAAGACGGGUUAAACAGUUACGAAGGGGCUUAAAAGAGACGCUGAUCUGGCCUUUGCUAACUGAGAGGAAAGACACAAUUCCCCUCCUCUUUCCAAGAGCAUGUGAUGUACAGCGCACACCACAGGUUGGUGUGAAGGUGUGAAGGUGUGGACUCUGCUAUGAAU